CUGCAGUUCCGCGGGGAAGAGAAGAGAGGAGUGAAGAAGGCUGUUUCUUCAGAUUGCUGACGAUUAGAUGAGAUGGAUGUAAAGUGCUCAACGCAGUGCCUAGAGCCUAGUUCCGAUUUUAACUGCCUCAGCUUGAGCGAUGAGGACAUGAGAACAGGAACAUCUAAGAACCACAGACCUGAGGAAGAAUCUCCAGGUUAAAGAGGUGGAAGUUGCUAGAAUUUAAAAGCAGUGUUUCCACACAGGAGAAAUGACCUGCUAAAGGGCCACGGCACCAGAACGCUUUCUAAUUCUUUGCCUCCACUUCUGCCUCAAAUAAUGACCUACUCUAAGAGGAGGAGAGUGUGUUGGUUAGUGGGCUUGCAGUCAUACACCCUGGAUUCUGCCUCUUGUUAGCUCUGGGCCUUGAGCAAAUGACUUAACCUCUUUGUGACUCAGUUUCUUCAUCUAUUAAAAUGGGGACAGGGAUGGUGAUGAUGAUAUCACCUACUCUGUAGGGUUGCUAUGAAAAAAAUCAAAGAUUAGUAUUUGUAAAGCACUUACAGGGUCUGGUACCUAAUAAACUCGAUAUAGAUGUUUGUUAAAUAAGAAUGGCACAAUGGUAUGGACACUGUGGCUGUUUCUCUGAGUUUCCUGAAGAAACAGCUGUUCAUGAAACCUUCUGAAAACUCAAAUGUAGCUGAAGUUGCCCAAAAUAUGGUAUGAGCAAUCUUCCUUCUUCUACUCAUCAGCGCCUUCACUGUAGAGGGGUCUCUAUUCAGUGCUCACAGAAGUCCUAUAUUUCAGUGGCCUGCUCUGGAUAUCCAAACUUCUAAUGAGAAAUGGUACCUUAUUUAGGUUAAAAAGAAGAUGGACUAAUAUUGGGUGUACGCUUUCUA